rnacentral:rRNA from 1 species
GACGAACGCUGGCGGCGUGCUUAACACAUGCAAGUCGAACGGAAAGGCCCUGCUUUUGUGGGGUGCUCGAGUGGCGAACGGGUGAGUAACACGUGAGUAACCUGCCCUUGACUUUGGGAUAACUUCAGGAAACUGGGGCUAAUACCGGAUAGGAGCUCCUGCUGCAUGGUGGGGGUUGGAAAGUUUCGGCGGUUGGGGAUGGACUCGCGGCUUAUCAGCUUGUUGGUGGGGUAGUGGCUUACCAAGGCUUUGACGGGUAGCCGGCCUGAGAGGGUGACCGGCCACAUUGGGACUAAGAUACGGCCCAGACUCCUACGGGUGGCAGCAGUGGGGAAUAUUGCACAAUGGGCGGAAGCCUGAUGCAGCAACGCCGCGUGCGGGAUGACGGCCUUCGGGUUGUAAACCGCUUUCGCCUGUGACGAAGCGUGAGUGACGGUAAUGGGUAAAGAAGCACCGGCUAACUACGUG